GAAACACCUUGUGAGUCUAACUGUAGUCAUCAUUACAUAAAUGGAAUUGGAUCCUGUCCAGAAAAUAUCAAAACUCUAACUAAGAAAGUCAAAGCAACAGGUUCAUUUAAACUCAAUGCAAGUUCUGAUGAAGUAAUGAAUUCUACUGAAUAUAAGACAAAUCUGACCAGAAUGCUUGCCAGUUCUUACAGUAACUUGCCAGGGUUCCGCUGUGUUGAUGGACUUCAGAUUGGAAAUGGGAGCACAGUUGAAUACGAUCUUAUAAUUAAUGGAGAUAUAAAGUCAAACCUCCUUUGGCAUCAUGUCCAAGAUGCA